AGUGAACGCUGGCGGUAGGCCUAACACAUGCAAGUCGAACGGCAGCACAGUAAGAGCUUGCUCUUACGGGUGGCGAGUGGCGGGCGGGUGAGGAAUACAUUGGAAUCUACUUUUUCGUGGGGGAUAACGUAGGGAAACUUACGCUAAUACCGCAUACGACCUACGGGUGAAAGCAGGGGAUCUUCGGACCUUGCGCGAUUGAAUGAGCCGAUGUCGGAUUAGCUAGUUGGCGGGGUAAAGGCCCACCAAGGCGACGAUCCGUAGCUGGUCUGAGAGGAUGAUCAGCCACACUGGAACUGAGACACGGUCCAGACUCCUACGGGAGGCAGCAGUGGGGAAUAUUGGACAAUGGGCGCAAGCCUGAUCCAGCCAUACCGCGUGGGUGAAGAAGGCCUUCGGGUUGUAAAGCCCUUUUGUUGGGAAAGAAAAGCAGCAGGUUAAUACCCCGCUGUUCUGACGGUACCCAAAGAAUAAGCACCGGCUAACUUCGUG
rnacentral:rRNA from 1 species